UUACGACCAUAUCACGUUGAAGCACAUGUUAUCGUACGAUCUCCGAAGUUAAGCAGCUUUUAGCCUGUCCAGUACCUAGAUGAGUUAUCGCUUAGGAAAACCAACU